UACGGAGGGUGCAAGCGUUAAUCGGAAUUACUGGGCGUAAAGCGCACGCAGGUGGCUGAGUCAGUCGAUUGUGAAAGCCCUGGGCUUAACCUGGGAAUUGCAGUCGAUACUACUCAGCUAGAGUAUGGGAGAGGGUAGUGGAAUUCCCGGUGUAGUGGUGAAAUGCGUAGAGAUCGGCAGGACACCCAGGGGGAAACCAGUCGACUGGGCAUCUACUGACGCUGAGGUGCGAGAGCGUGGGGAGCGAACCGG
rnacentral:rRNA from 1 species